AUUUGUCUAACUCAUGCACACAAUGGAUGCCUUGGGAUAUCAGGCCGAUGAAGGGCGCGGUUGGUGGCGAUAUGCUCGGGGGAGUGACCAAACACACAGUGAUCCCGAGAUUCCCGAAUGGGACAACCCACUCCUUUUUGGAGUAUCUGCAAGUGAAUUCAUAGCUUGUAGAGGGGAACCCGCUGAACUGAAACAUCUUAGUAAGCGGUGGAAAAGAGAACAAAUGUUAUUUUGACUGCGCAAGCAGGCAAAAAUAGCAGCUUGGGCGGAAGCCCAGGUGCGUAUUCCCUGAGUAGCGGCGAGCGAAACGGGAACAGCCUAAACCCGCCUCUCAAGCGUAAGCGAGAGGGCGGGGGUUGCAGGAUUCUUAUACGGUAUCGGACAACGGUAGCAAAAGGAUUUGGAAUAAUCCACCAAAGAAGGUGAAAGUCCUGUAUGCGAAACCAGCGUCCGGCCAGAGAACACCUAAGUACCGCGAGGCACGCGAAAUCUUGCGGGAAUCAGGCACGACCACGUGCCAAGGCUAAAUACCUGAUAUCACCGAUAGUGAACAAGUACCGUGAGGGAAAGGUGAAAAGAAGGGGCAAGACCCUAGUGAAAUAGAACCUGAAAUUGUGUGCUAACAAGCAGUCGAAGUCCACUCUUCAGAACUGAUUGGCCCUCGGGUCGAUCAAUCUGGAGGGGAUGACGGCGUGCCUAUUGAAGAAUGAACCGGCGAGUGAUCAUGCGUUCUUUUGUCUAACCAAGAUUUCCUUGGGGAGGCGGAGCGAAAGCGAGUCUGAAUAGGGCGAAUAAUAAGAGCGCAGGAUCGACCCGAAACCGGGUGAGCUACCUAUGUGCAGGGUGAGCCCCGCCGAAAGGCGGGGGGAGGCCCGAACCCGUGUACGUUGCAAUGUGCUGGGAUGACAUGUGGGUAGAGGUAAAAUGCCAAUCGAACCCGGAGAUAGCUGGUUCUCCCCGAAAUAUAUUGAGGUAUAGCCUUUGAGGAAUGCGUUGGAGGUAGAGCUCUGGAUGGACUUCUUUUGCGCAAGCGAGAGAUUCCAAUCAAACUCCAAAUGCCGACGCUAUUAUCCUCAAGGAGUCAGUCCGGCCCGGCUAAGCGGGUCUGGUCGAAAGGGAAACAACCCAGAUCGACAGCUAAGGUCCCUAAUUCGUGAUUUAGUGUGAAAGGAUGUUGUGUUGCACAGACAGCCAGGAAGUUGGCUUAGAAGCAGCCACCUUUUAAAGAAAGCGUAACAGCUCACUGGUCGAGGCAAUGCAGCGCCGAAAAUGUAUCGGGGCUCAAAUCACGAACCGAAGCUUCGAAUCUUUUGUCUCCUCGGAGACGAGAGGUGGUAGGGGAGCGUUCUGCAUACACUGAAGGUCGACCGCAAGGACGGCUGGAGUGUGCAGAAGUGAGUAUGCCGGUAUGAGUAGCGAAAGUCGCCUGAGAAUGGCGACCACCGAAUGCCCAAGGUUUCCCUGGCAAUGUUUGUCAUCCAGGGGUGAGUCGGUCCUAAGCUGAGGCCAAUUGGCGUAAGCGAUGGAAAACAGGUUGAUAUUCCUGUACAGGGUUUAUUCUGAUAAAGACGUGAAGGGCGGACCGUGGUGGAGAGGUUUAGCCCCCCAUUGGGGGGUUGAAGCACGAAGCAAGAAACAAUUGGAAAAUCCGUUGUUUUGAUUAUGCGACGUGUGACCAAGAGUUUCUUCGCAAGAAGGAGCAAUUGAAUACUCUUCAGCAUGCAAGAAAAGGCUCGUCACGGAGAAUAGAUCUUGCCGUACCGCAAACCGACACUGGUGGGCUGGUAGAGAAUACUAAGGUGAACGGGAGAACGGCGGUUAAGGAACUCGGCAAUACAGCUGGGCGUAAUUUCGAGAGAUGCCCUACCCAGGUAGUCUCCCGUAAGGGAGAGAUACUUGGGUCGCAGUGAAAGACGCGGAGCGACUGUUUAACAAAAACACAGGUCUCUGCAAACCCGAAAGGGGAUGUAUAGGGGCUGACACCUGCCCAGUGCUGGAAGGUUAAAGAGAGAGAUGAUGUUGGGGAAACCCGACUGAGUCUUGAACUGAAGCCCCAGUGAACGGCAGCAGUAACUAUAACUGUUCGACGGUAGCGAAGUUCCUUGUCAGGUAAGUUCUGACCCGCACGAAAGGUUGAACGACUUCGCGACUGUCUCAACCGCCGACCCGGCGAAAUUGAAGUGGCUGUGAAGAUGCGGCCUUCCUGUCUUUGGACAAAAAGACCCCGUGGAGCUUUACUACAACUUGACACUGAUCUAUAAGGGAGAAUCGUGUAGCGUAGGAGGGAGUCUGAGGCCGCAAGGCUGAAGACGUCAAUGAAACACCUCUCGUUUUGCUUUAUAGGUCUCACCGCGAUCCCGCAUAAAGAACCGGGAGCGGAACACUGUCUGGCGGGUAGUUUGGCUGGGGCGGCAUUCUCCAAAAAAGUAACGGAGAAGUACAAAGGUCGGCUUCGCUCGGAUGGAAAUCGAGCAACAAGCGCAAUGGUAUAAGCCGGCUUGACUGUGAGACGUGCAUGUCGAGCAGAUGCGAAAGCAGGUCAUAGUGAUCCUCUGUUUGGUCGUGGGACCGGCAGGGCUUAUCGGAUAAAAGCUACCCCGGGGAUAACAGGCUAAUCUCCUCCAAGAGUUCACAUCGACGAGGAGGUUUGGCACCUUGAAUACACAUCGGGGUGCGGGAGAAGUAAUUCUCCCUUCCUGUUGAAAAUAUAGUCAGCUCAUAACGGUGGACUCCUCUUGAUUUUCGGGUUACAUUUGUAUACUCUAAAAUCAAUGGACAAUACCGUGGGAAGUCUGACAGAAGAAGAACAGUCCAUUCUCAUUGGAAGUCUCUUAGGAGACGGGACAAUGAGAAAGAAAAGAAAUGCUCUCUUAGAAAUCAACCACAGUUAUCAGCAGAAAGUGUUGGUUGAGUUUCAGAGAGCAAAAGAAACUGAUACAUCUUUUAAAGGAACAAUUCGGCAUAGAAUCGACUCUGAAUAGAGACAAAAAGUACUAUCGAAUUCGAAUUCGAACACGAAGUGCCAAAAGAUUUAUGCAGAUCGUUGAACCUUAUGUAUUAGAGGAUUUCAAGUAUAAGUUUCCUUCUGUCAUGACCCCGUAACGACUUGACCCGUACCACUCUGGUACAGGUCGGAGCUUUCCUCAAGAAAGCUAAAACGCUGACCCCUACUCUUUGAUUUGGACGAUCAAAAGAUAAGAGGGUGAAGGUAUAGUCUAACCUUAUAGGAAACUAUAAGAAUCAGUACGAUGUCGGCUCAUCGCAUCCUCCCGCUGAAGUAGGCGGGAAGGGUCGGGCUGUUCGCCCGUUAAAGCGGUACGUGAGCUGGGUUCAGAGCGUCGUGAGACAGCUGAGUGCCGGACAAGUGGCACUGACAACGAACUGUCUCUCUCCAGCGCUCCGAAUGACGAUGAUCGAGGAAAGUAUGGAGACUUACGUCAGAUGACGUGAGAAUAAAUUUGGCUAUAUGCUGGGACGUCUUGCAAAUGGCGACAUACUAGUAUAUAAUUUAUAUACUAGUGAAAAUUGUCGUCCCCAGAAAAUGGGCGAGAUAAUCAGCAGGAAAGACUCGUGUUCGCGCAAAUGAAUAGAAUUAGUAACGACUAUCUUGUUGGCUUUGUUGAGGGCGAAGGCAUGUUUUAUGUCGGCGUUGUUCCUUCAAAGGAAACCAAAACUGGCUGGCAAGUCAUUUAUUUCUUUAAAGUAUCUCAGAAUCCAGGUGGGAAAGUUGUAUUAGAUACACUGAAGCAUCGUUUGGGUUGCGGAUACGUGAAAGCAAACAGUCAAACUGAUCCAGGAGAUAAAUCGCUCGCCUAUGUCGUGCGAGAUCUACCGAGCCUUCGAGAGAAAGUUAUUCCUUUCUUUGAAGGAAAACUGUACGUGAAACGUAAAGCCUUUGACGCAUUUAAACGUGUCACUGAGUUUGUUUCAGCAGGCAAACAUUUUUCCUAUGAAGGCAUGAAGGUAAUUUUAGAUCUCGCAUAUACGAUGAAUACAGGGAAGCGACGAUUUUCAAAAGAAGUAAUUUUAUGCGCGUACACACGAGAAUCCUCACAGACUAUACGCCAAACCACACCGUAGCCAAGUACAGCUUGGUGAAGGGUGGAAGAUAUAGUCGGAUCCCAUUGGCGACAAUGGGUUAACAAUAUUGUCGGACUCUAUCCAAGACAGGCGGAGGAAAUUUGAGGGGAGUGACGCACAGUACGAGAGGACCUGCGUGAGAUAACCUCUGGUGUACCAGUUGUUCCAAAAGAGCAUCGCUGGGUAGCUAUGUUGUUUGUUGAUAAGCGCUGAAAGCAUCUAAGCACGAAGCAACCCCCAAGAUUAGAUUUCCCAGUCCCCGCCGCAAGGCGGGGCAAGACCCCAGAUAGACUAUCUGGUUGAUAGGGCGCAGGUGGAAGUCCGGUAACGGAUGAAGCUAAGCGCUCCUAAUGGUCAAUCGAGACAAAUCU
rnacentral:rRNA from 1 species